UGGGUAACCUGCCUCAAAGAGGGGAAUAGCCUCCCGAAAGGGGAGAUUAAUACCGCAUAAUAUGUUUAAGUCGCAUGACUUUAACAUCAAAGGNUUUUCUUUUAGAACUUCCACUUUGAGAUGGACCCGCGGCGCAUUAGCUAGUUGGUGAGGUAACGGCUCACCAAGGCAACGAUGCGUAGCCGACCUGAGUAGGGUGAUCCGGCCACAUUGGAACUGAGACACGGUCCAGACUCCGUAGGGAGG
rnacentral:rRNA from 1 species